UACGGAGGAUGCAAGCGUUAUCCGGAAUAAUUGGGCGUAAAGCGUCCGCAGGUGGCUAUGUAAGUCUGCUGUUAAAGAGUGAGGCUCAACCUCAUAAGAGCAGUGGAAACUACAUAGCUAGAGUGCGUUCGGGGCAGAGGGAAUUCCUGGUGUAGCGGUGAAAUGCGUAGAUAUCAGGAAGAACACCGGUGGCGAAAGCGCUCUGCUAGGCCGCAACUGACACUGAGGGACGAAAGCUAGGGGAGCGAAUGGG
rnacentral:rRNA from 1 species